UGUGGAAUAUUGGACAAUGGGCGCAAGCCUGAUCCAGCCAUGCCGCGUGGAUAAAGAAGGCCCUAGGGUUGUAAAGUCCUUUCGGUGGUGAAGAUAAUGACGGUAACCACAGAAGAAGCCCCGGCUAAUUUCGUGCCAGCAGCCGCGGUAAUACGAAAGGGGCUAGCGUUGUUCGGAAUUACUGGGCGUAAAGCGCACGUAGGCGGCCUUGUAAGAUGGGGGUGAAAUCCCUGGGCUCAACCCAGGAACUGCCUUCAUGACUGCAAAGCUCGAGGAUGUGAGAGGUUGGCGGAAUUCCGAGUGUAGAGGUGAAAUUCGUAGAUAUUCGGAAGAACACCAGUGGCGAAGGCGGCCAACUGGCACAUUUCUGACGCUGAGGUGCGAAAGCGUGGGGAGCAAACAGGAUUAGAUACCCCUGUAGUCCCUGAGCGGGCUGGCAAGGCG
rnacentral:rRNA from 1 species